CACAUGCUUAGAGUUAAGGACAUGCUUCAAUAUUUCCAGGAGCAGGGCCUGCCUUCUCCCAGUAGGGAAUUGUGCUCUUCCAGAGGCUUUUGCCCCAGCGUGCUUGUGGAAAUCUGUCCCUUUAAGUCUUGCAGAGCUGAACUGCUCCAGUCUUCCUGUAGCCAUUUUGCAAAUGCUGACUGCUGGGUGCCUGUUCUGGUUAGUACCUGUCCUGCUUUUCCACAUGUCUCUUCUUCCACCUCUGCAGCUCACGUGUGAUGAUCCAAAAAGGCUCACACAGAGGUGAAAAUCUGUCUGCCAAAGAGACAAGCUGACCUGCCUGAGGUGCACAGGAGGCCCGUGGUGUGACAGAGCUGCACUGGAAGAAGCCAACCUAAGCAGAGGCCAGAGAAACUUCAGGGUUUGGACCUGCUGGUUCCUGCAGCAGCACACUUCCUUGAGUAGUACCAAAAAUGAACUUUGUUUUGUGUCGUGACUUGUGGUUAGGUUCUUUGGUUUCCCGAAAAAUCAAACUGCAACCGAAACUCCGGCAGCAGUUUGGAUGUUCUUAAAUUUUUAUGCUGUCUGGAUUGUCUGAUACCAAUGGCUCCAAGAUUCUCUGCCUUGGCUAGACUUCCCUUAGCGGAAAUAGCACUUCCAUCCUUUCUCUCUGGCCAUCUGGUGAAAGUCAAACACCUUAAGAUCCUCUCUCAACAGUGGCCAAGUUAAAAGUUAAUUAGGAGGGACUUAGAGAAAGACACACAGGCUGUAUCACCCCAUCAGACUCACAUAUCACAGAACUUGCUGGGAACUGGGUGAGAUGGUCUAUGCAGACAUGGAGAAACACUUCUUGAUUUUGCCCCACUAUCAUUUCUGGAGCUUCUGGGUCUCUGCAGCACACACCUGUUGUAUCAUUCCCUCUGCCACAGCCCCAGUUUCUCCUGCUAGCUCCUCCAGCAAGAGCAAUUCUACAAAAUGUUCCUUCCUCUCUGCCAUCUCUGCACAGCAGCUUCCAGAGGAAAGAACAGCUGCAAAACCUAGUUCCCCCCUUCACACGUUGUAAGAAAGCAGGUACUUUCAUGCUCCAGAGAUGUCCCUGAACACUUCAGCUCAGGUGGGCAAAGCAGGACAGGCUUUGAAUGCAGAAAAUUGAGCACAUUAUCAGGGAGCUGUUGAGGUUUACAUCUCUACUACAGUUUUUAUGCUUAGAGCCCUACAAAGCUGAGAUGGUGUUAUCUGAAGUGUACAGAAGAAAUUGGUGCUACUUGUAGUAGAAUUUUUCUGCUUGCAAGGAGUUGAAAACGCUUUAAAUCACUGGAGCUUGUCUCAGGUACAAAGAACCUAACUGGGGUUUGAAGCACCAUUUAAAAUUGAGCAGAGAGGGAGUCAAAAGCCGAGGGCAUCUCAAAGAGUUAAAAGUCAUGAAUCUGGCAAAAGAAAAUGUGAGUCAAUGUCAAAAAGUUUACAAGCUGACCAUCUGAAAAUAUUUUGGGUUCAGUUCAACAGAUCAAAACAGCUGAUUUGACUUGAACUUUAAACCAAAUAAACAAACAAAAAUAUGUUUAGAAGCACAAAUUGUUUAAUUGUUGGAAGUGAACAGGCUUUCCUUCCACACAGUUUGAAAUGAACUGAUUCGAUUUUGCUGAUUCAAAACGUUUUCAGGAACUUGGGGAGACUUGGAUGUAUGGUGUGUUUAUUACAUAGUGAGAAUCUCAUGUGAUUUCUCUAGGAAGUCUAUGACUCGAAGGAUAAUAUCAUUACAGUGGAAUUGCAGGAUCUAACAAUAUUAUCCACAGGAUCUGAGGAACAAGGAUUAAAAGGACUUGGAAAUCCAUUUUCUCUGAUGAUACAGGCAUGUGAAUUUUGUCUAGAAGGCCAGAUCUUCUGUAGUUUAGCAGCACUGAGUCAUCCCACUGGCUUGUGUCAAUGUGAGGAUCUGGCCCUAACCUGAAAAUACUCCAAUGCUUUGUGAAAUGAUCUCAUUCAGUGAAAAAAAACAAACCUUGAUUGUCAGCAUGUGUCAUGCAGGAGCUGGGUUUUGGUUUGAUGCCAGUGCACUUUUUCACCAGUUCUGAGAUUGACAAAUUUAUUUCUUCCCAAGAAAUUAAAAAAAAAAACCUCUCUUCUCCUCCCUCCUACCCAUCUUUGCUCUUCUCCCAGCUGUCAUCACUGUUUACAGUUUGAGUAAGUGAAAAUAUAUAUUUACAAGUACAGCUUACUGCUGUGUUUGCUGGUAUAGACUGCCUGAGGGCAUAUCUAUGAAUCCAGCUCCCAUCUCCAUCCAGAAAUACACCCCCUCCUCUCGUCAGCCUUGCCCCUCCUCUGCCCUGUUGUCUUAAGCUGGGUGUUCAAUCUUUGCUCUUGGAUUCUGAGCUUUAUGGGAGGGAGGCUGGUGCCUUGCUUCGUGCCUGGACAUGAGCGCUGUCGGAUCUCAAGCACUGAGUGAUGCUCCCACCACUCCCCGGCGGGGAAGGCCAACCCUCCUGCCCUUAUCAAGCAUCUCCAGCUUGGAGAUCCUGCAGGCUGGAUUAACUGAGGUCACGGAGCAGGAGAAGUGUCAUGUGCCUGCUCUGCAGCUGACUUGCUUCACCUUGUGGGGCUGUGUGUGAAUGCAGACUUGGGAGAAGGUUUUAUUUUCAGCUGCAGCCUCGUGCUGUGGUCCUUCUCCCGACUGGACACGUGCCCAUCGGACAAUCCCACAGCAACCUGGUUGCCUGCCAGCCCCAGAUGCCAGAAGCAUGUCCCCACUUCCUCUCCCCUUACAUGAGGAAUUCUGCAGGGUCUCGUUCACUACAACCCAGAAAAGUUGUGUCUCACACAGUUUGGGGGCAGUGAGGCCAGAUCCUGACCAAGGCCUCCAGAUGUUAUUGCAAUAGUAAUGAAAAAUAUACCAUAACUAACCCAGUGAUGUACAAUACAUUUAAAAUUGUGCUUUUCAAAAGGGUUUAUAAAAAUGUUGCCAACACUCAUGGUCUUAUCAGAACUAGGCUCCAGUAUUGUGCAGAUGGUGUUUGUGGCAUUCCCAGUGCUCAGGACUUCGAGUCCUGUUGAGACCAAGGAAAAGCUGAUGGUUCUUGGAAAUUUUGCAGGAUUUCUCCUCAGAGAGAGGUCAGCUAGUCAGACAGGAGUGUCUGUUGGUUAAGUCACUAACCUGUGUUCAGUUCUAACUCCCCUGGGAAUUGCCUUUAUGAGUUUGGGAAAGACAUUAAGGACUUGUUUAUGCUGCUAAAGUUAACUUAAUUUUUUUUUGUACUGCAGCAUUACUGGUGAACAUGUAGCUGCUGCAUGUUAUGCCAGUAAAGACAAAAUAUGUUGGUUGUAGUCUGAGGUGUGUUUGCUGAAUUUGAUUCAGUAGCACAGUUGAAAGAUUUGUUUGUUUUGUAGCUAGAAUGCCUUUAGUGGAUCUGAGAUAAAAGAAGAAUGCAGCUUUUUAAAGCUACUUUUCUACCUGUGAAAUGGGAAUGAAAGUAAUUAAUCCCAAUGAUACUAUUGAGAUACUGUGGUUACUGUAAAAGCUAAGGGGCUAUAUUUGUGGUGGGAGCUGCUGUGGGAGAUGAAGAUAGCUCUGUACCCAAGGUUCCCUGGAUAUAUUCAAGUAUGGGCCAAAAUAUAUUUAGAUAUUUGUCUUAACUGCACAUUUCACUCAUCUCUGUCACAACAACUAAAAAUAAAAACUAGGGAAAACUAGGUUUUUGCUGGCCACUAUUUCCCUAGCUGCAGAACAUCUGUAAUAAGGGUUUGCAUGAACAUAGCUGCAAGUGAUGCUGCCGGACACAGACCUGGGAGACUCAUGGCUGAUGCAGACAGUGUUCAAGUGGUCUGUAGGUAGCUUGAACAGUGCUAGAGAAAGGUGUGAACCCACUCACCUCUCACCUCCAGGAGGACAUUAACAGUGGGGUUUGCUGAUAUUUUAGUAGAACAUAGGAUCACAGAACCACAGAAUGGCCUGGGUUGAAAGGCACCUUAAAGAUCAUCUGGUUCCAAUCCCCUGCCAUGGGCAGAGACACCUUCCACUGUCCCAGGUUGCUCAGAGCCCCAUCUAACCUGGCUUUCACAUAUUUUAGCUCGUCUAUGUGAACCAUGAUACUGAUUUUGCUAAUAAAAUUUAUCCAGACACUAA